ACUGGCAAUGAUGACACACUUGCCCUCACUGAGAGCUGUUCCACACUGCUCAUUUAUGAGAUUAAUUUCUGUACUCAUUAAGGGCUGAGCCAAG